ACGAGACUUUAACCUCUCUUCCAUCUCUCUUUCUCUCUCACGCCCACAGUCCCACUCUACUUUCCACGGCACCGCCUCUCUCAUUUUCUCACCAAAUCGUCGACAUCGCCCGGCGUCGGUAGCCCAUUUUCCACGGUCAAGGGUCGUCGGGGCACGAGACCCUAUAGACCAGACAGUAGGAGAUUCGACCGACUCGCUUCCUCUUCUACGGUUGCAAUAAGGAUUGGUGCUUCAUUUGUGAGUUUGAAGGUCUGAUUCUAAAGGGACAGGAGCUGAGAUCUAGUUUAUCUCCAAUUAGGAUACUGUCUCAAAUUCUAAAGUCAUCUAAUAAGUCAUGGAAGACAAGAAGAUGCCCACGAGUUUUUGAGGUAUGCAGUAGAUACAAUGAGGCCUUAAUGGGGAAGCAUUGAGAAUCUGAAAGAAUUGUAUACUGAGAUAAUUGCAAGAAGGGGAUAAAUCACCUAGUUUGAUGACUAUAGAGUGGGGCCGAUAGGGUGAUUUCACUAACUACUUAGUAUUUUUUUUUUUUUUUUUUUGGGAAAAUGUAUUGGAUUUUUAGGUGUUUUAGAAUUUUGGAUCUAGAUUUUGUAUGAAUAUUGUUACAUUUUAGAGUUCAAUUAAUAAUGAUUAUUGGAGUUAUUUGAUAUAA